rnacentral:rRNA from 1 species
AUUGAACGCUGGCGGUAGGCCUAACACAUGCAAGUCGAACGGCAGCACAGUAAUAGCUUGCUCUUACGGGUGGCGAGUGGCGGACGGGGGCUGAAUACAUCGGAAUCUACUUUUUCGUGGGGGAUAACGUAGGGAAACUUACGCUAAUACCGCAUACGACCUACGGGUGAAAGCAGGGGAUCUUCGGACCUUGCGCGAUUGAAUGAGCCGAUGUCGGAUUAGCUAGUUGGCGGGGUAAAGGCCCACCAAGGCGACGAUCCGUAGCUGGUCUGAGAGGAUGAUCAGCCACACUGGAACUGAGACACGGUCCAGACUCCUACGGGAGGCAGCAGUGGGGAAUAUUGGACAAUGGGCGCAAGCCUGAUCCAGCCAUACCGCGUGGGUGAAGAAGGCCUUCGGGUUGUAAAGCCCUUUUGUUGGGAAAGAAAAGCAGCAGGUUAAUACCCCGCUGUUCUGACGGUACCAAAAGAAUAAGCACCGGCUAACUUCGUG